GACUCGAUAGCUCAGCUGGUAGAGCAAUACACUUUUAAUGUAUGGGUCCUGGGUUCGAAUCCCAGUCGAGUCACGA
rnacentral:tRNA from 2 species